rnacentral:rRNA from 1 species
GACGAACGCUGGCGGCGUGCUUAACACAUGCAAGUCGUACGGUAAGGCCCUUUCGGGGGUACACGAGUGGCGCACGGGUGAGUAACACGUGAGUAACCUGCCCACAACUUUGGGAUAACGCUAGGAAACUGGUGCUAAUACUGGAUAUGUGCUCCUGCUGCAUGGUGGGGGUUGGAAAGCUCCGGCGGUUGUGGAUGGACUCGCGGCCUAUCAGCUUGUUGGUGGGGUAGUGGCCUACCAAGGCGGCGACGGGUAGCCGGCCUGAGAGGGUGACCGGCCACAUUGGGACUGAGAUACGGCCCAGACUCCUACGGGAGGCAGCAGUGGGGAAUAUUGCACAAUGGGCGCAAGCCUGAUGCAGCAACGCCGCGUGCGGGAUGACGGCCUUCGGGUUGUAAACCGCCUUCAGCAGGGACGAAGCUUUUUGUGACGGUACCUGCAGAAGAAGCACCGGCUAACUACGUG